CAUUUUGUUGUUUUUCUUUUUUUUUUCUUGUUGUUUUUUCAAGUUUU
rnacentral:ribozyme from 14 species